GUGCUGAAGGAGAAAAUAAUCCCUGUGUUAACAGACAAUGGAGGACGAGAGAAGGAAUGAUCAAGCAAUUUGGACCCCCGUCCUUCCACAGAAUAUGACUAGAGUGCAAGGGAGUUCAAGAACCUUUCAUGAUGUCUCCAUGUCUCCCCGGGGUCUGGAGUCUACAGUUUGGAAAUCAUUGCUGGAGUCUCUUGUAUCCUGGAUCCAGGCCCGGCUUUCUCUCAACAGUGCUGUCCAGAUGGAGAGCCACGGAAAGCUUUCAAACAGGGGAACCGUGAUGGAAAUAAUUAUUCCACGUCUAUUUCAGUGAGCCUCCUUUCAGUGUGCCUUUAUGUGUAGCUGACUCUAAU
rnacentral:lncRNA from 12 species